rnacentral:misc_RNA from 1 species
GAGUUCCUGCCCUUCGGGGUAGAUCUCCCACCCUUGCCUAUUAUACCUUUGUUGCUUUGGCAGGCCGCGCAAGCCACCGGCUCCGGCCUGGUGUGUGCCUGCCAGAGAACCUCAAACCCUGAAUCAUUAGCGUCGUCUGAGUACUAUAAAAUAGUUAAAACUUUCAACAACGGAUCUCUUGGUUCU